rnacentral:lncRNA from 1 species
UUUUCUUUUAUUAUUUGCUUAUGAAGAAUUGUGAUUGAGAGAAGUAUUGUUGAAACUAUGAUUAGAAUAUUGUAGAAUAUGACUUUGGACUGACCAUUUUGGAGAAAAUCUAUGACCUUGUGUCACGGACCAAAAAUACAAACAAGAAAUCUAAACAAGAAGUUCAAGAAGAAAUGACAAGAACUAGAUUAUCAGAUGAGUGCAAGAGCAACGCCAAGAGAAUUGAGCUAGAGCUUCAAGAGAUGUGUUGUCGAGACUGAAGAACUCUUCAGCCUCGACUCCUAUAUAUACUACUGGCCUAUGGUUCUAAGGAAGCGCAUCAAGAAGCUUCCCAAGAACUAUGAAGCUUCUCGAGCAACUACCCAAGAGCUAGGAAGCUUCUCAAGUAACUUCCUAGAAUCUACUAGAAUAUUCUAAGAAUCUUCUAGAGCCUUCUAAGAGAAUCUUUAGGGAAUCUUCAAAGAAUCUUUAGGGAAUCUUUGAAGAAUAUUCUAAGAAAAUAUUCAAGGAAUCUUCUGGAAGUUUUUAGAGACUUCUUUCUAGAAGGUUCUAGAAACUUGUCUCUAGAAAGGUCUAAGGACUAUGUCCCUAACAUCACCUCCUCCUUUAGCUUCGAGGUCUCCGAGAAGUAAUGUUAUCGUCAGUCAAUACCAACGCAAGAAAAUGAAGAUCUGUCACAUAACCUCUGCUAUGAACUCCAAUUGUUGUUCACAAGGCAAGUGAUUCAAUGGUCCUUGAAGCGAACGGUAGUGGCCCACGCCUUCAACUUCUGACCAAGCAUGAACCUCCGUGUCUUCAUUAUGAAAUUGUCCUGCAAACACUCCUUCUGGUUGACCAAUGUAGGAAGGCUCGACCUCAAAUACAAUCACCAGCGAUUUGUUGCUCGGAAUCCUUCGACGUCGUCAUGGUGCAAGCGGUUCUUCAUCUCGCGGUCGUCUUCGUGAGCUAGUUGCUUGAGAUGACAUGACAAGUGUAGUAUCUUGGCUAUCCAUAUUCAAAGGCUAAAACAAUAAGAACAAACUUGGGCUACUAACAAAGCUCUACGCUAUCUUGGAGAGAAUGACUACAUCAACUAUGGAUUUUGGUGGUGCUCUCUCCUCUUUUCUGUUUUCUGGAUGAGCAAGCUUCAGUAAGAAGCUAUUGUCGAACCGGCUUGGGUUUCUCAGGAUAUCGUCGAUGAAACUCCUGUACCUUUUGUGGCGCAUUCGCGAGAUUUUCGGCCGGCUCCCAUGUUCGUUCAUUAAUAUCGUAACCGCUCCAAUGCACAAAGUAUUCUAAUUUACCCCGUCUUUGCCGUGAAUCCAGGACCUUUUCCACCUCGUAUUCUUUGUGGUUCUCUAUUUCUAUGCUAGGUAGUGGACAUUGUACUCUUCCAGGAAAAGACGAUUCUCGAUAAGGCUCCAACAAAGAAACAUGAAAGACAGGAUGUACCUUCAUAGUAGCUGGUAACUCCAGACGAUACGCUACAGGAUUGAUCUGCUUCUAGAUAACAAAUGGUCCCAAUCUCCGAUAGUCCAAUUUGUCACAUGGCCGCUUGGUCUUAAUAUUUCGUCGAAGCAGCCAAACUUUGUCUCCAAUUGUGAAUUUAGGUGCCUAAUUCCGAAAUUUGUCCGCGGACGCCUUGUAAGAUUCUUGGGCAGUUUGCAAUUGAAGCUUCAAUGUAGUUUGAAGCUGCGAAAGCUCCUUCACCAAUCCUUCAGCUGUCGGAUUGUUAAUCGUUGACGAACUCCAUAAGUCAAGCUUCGGAUGGUAUCCAUAAUUGGAAAAGAAUGGCGUUUGUUGAGUUGACGCAUGAAGGGUGUUGUUAUAUGCAAACUCGGCUAGCGGUAGAUAUGUGACCCAAUCAUCUUGUUGAUAGUUGAUGGUGCAAUGUAAAUAUUGCUCUAAAACUUGAUUCACCCGUUCUGUUUGGCCGUCCGUUUGAGGAUGAAAUGCCAAAGAAAGCUUGAUAUCCACCUUCAAUAUUUCAAAAAGAGAUUUCCAAAACUUUGACACAAACUCGGUUCCUCGAUCCGAUACGAUAUCAUUUGGUAGACCAUGAUAUCGAUACACAUUAUCAAGAAAGAGUCUUGUUGUGUCUUCGCUUGACGAUGUCUUCUUGCAAGGGACAAAAUGCGCCAUCUUUGUAAGCCGGUCUACGACAACAAAAAUGCUGUCAAAUGAAUUCGAUGGUGGUAGAUCCGUAAUAAAGUCCAUGGAAACCGAAGACCAUGGUCGACGCGGAAUAGGUAAUGGCUGUAGAAGUCCAUAAGGCCGAUGUCGAGGGUUUUUGGAUCUUGAACAAAUGUCAUAAGAUACAACAAAAUCUUUCACAUCCUUCCACAUUUGAGGCCACCAGAAAUCGCGGGAAAUAAGUUCCAAGGUCUUAUUGAAUCCAAAAUAUCCCGCAGUUGGAAAGUCAUGACGAGAUCGAAGAACUCGGAGUCGUGUUGGCCCUUUUGGGAUAUACAACCGCUCUUCGAAAUAUACUAGAUCUCCUUCCAUCUUGAAUUUAUCAUCACUAGUAUGUUGCUUGAUACCAAGGGCUAGAGAAUCUUCAAUGGUUGCGACCCGUAUCUGGUCGAGGAAGUCAGCAUCAAUUGGUACAAUAGCUGCGUUGAGCCGAAAUUUCUCUGGCUUCAACAAUGUCGUGCAAUGUUGAUCAAAUGCUGCAUCUCUAGCCUUUGGCGCGAGAUAUGAUCUCCUUGAUAAUGCAUCGGACAACCCUUGUUGCUUCCCAGGCCAAUAAGUAAUAACAAAGUCGAACCUGGAUAGCGACAUACUCCACCGAGCUUGACGUCGAUUCAAAAUCCGAGCCGACAUAAAAUACUCCAAAUUCUUGUGAUCCGUAUAUACGGUCACUGGAUGUGCAGUUCCUUCGAGAAAGUGGCGCCACUCUUGGAAAGAAUCUACUAUAACAAGGAGUUCCUUAUCGUGGAUCUCAUAGUUGAUCUCAGCAGCAGAGAAUUUUCGAGAAUAGAACGCAACUGGAUGGAGCUUCUCAUCUACGCCCAUCUGUGAAAGUACAGCUCCCAAAGCAAAAUCCGAAGCAUCUCUCUCCAAAUAAAAGGCCUUUGUAAAGUUCGGAUGUACCAAGAUUAGAGCUGUAGUAAAUACCAUCUUCAAAUCUUGAAAUGCUUUUUCUGCGAUAGGUCCCCAUUCGAGCUUGUCCUUACACGUUAACCGAGUGAAAGGGGCAGCAACUUGAGAAUAAUUCUUGAUGAAGAUUCGAUAGUAGUUAGCAAAUCCAAGAAAACAUUGUACGUCCCUAACCGUCUUCGGAACUUUCCAAGACAUGAUUGCUUCCACCUUCUUUGAAUCUAUCUUCAAGCCUUCCGUAGUCGCGAUGAAUCCCAAAAACUCCAUCUCAGUUUGGUGAAAUAAGCACUUCUCCAAUUUGGCAUAGAAUCCUCGCUCCCGUAGUUUUUUGAGUACCAGACGAACGUGCUUCUCAUGUUCUUCCUCGUUCUUAGAAAAUAUCAAAAUAUCAUCUAGAUAGAUGACAACAAAAUCGUCUAGAUGCUCUCGAAAGAUGUCAUUCAUCAUGUGUUGAAAGACCACUGGAGCAUUAGUAAGACCAAAUGGCAUGACAUUGUAUUCAAAAUGGCCAUACCUUGUUCGGAACGCUGUCUUCCAUUCAUCUCUUUUCUUAAUUCGCACAAGGUUGUAAGCUCCCCUUAGGUCAAUCUUUGUAAAGAUCCUUGCACGCCCAAGUUGUUCUAGAAGACCGGAAAUCAAAGGUAGUGGAUAGCGAUUCUUUUUUGUCACCUUGUUGAGACCUCGAUAGUCCACGCACAUCCGUAGUGAGCCAUCCUUCUUCUUCACAAAUAAGAUUGGUGCCCCAACUGGCGACUUCGAAUGACAGAUGAAGUUCUUGGCUAGAUUCUCGUCAAUGUACUUCCGCAACUUAGUCAACUCCGUCUGCGACAAAUUGUAGAUUGGUCCAAAAGGUGGUUGUGCUCCUUCUUGCAAUUCAAUGGCACAGUCAUAGGGUCGAUGCUCUGGCAGCAUAUCAGCAUUCUUCUUUUCAAAGACAUCUUUGAAUUCUUCAUACUGCUUUGGAAUAAUCAAAGUCGGAGUUGCAUCUUCUCGAGUCGGAGUUGCGAAGAUGACAAGAGGUGUAUUUUGCUUGGCUUCUUUCAUGAAAGCCCUUGCACCUAUAAACAAGGAUUUAUUUCUAGACAUUGUCUUGGCAGAUUCCACCUUCAAGGAGUUUGUUGGAAAUGUCACUUUCCGCAACUUCCAAUCUAUCAAUGGAUUAUAUCUAUCAAGCCAAGAUAGUCCCAAAAUGAUAGGACAUGAAGGGGUCUUGAUAACAUUAAAAACAAUAUUGCUCUCAUGGUUUUCAAGACGUACCUUCAAUGGUUUAGUUUCAUGGAUAACAUUGCCCGAAGACAAUGGUCGUCCGUCUAUGACUUCUACAUGGACAAGCUUAAGUUUCUUUACAAGAGAAAUAUUGUGAAGCUUGGCAAACUCUUCAUCUAUAAAGCAAGCGGAUGCACCCGAGUCUAAUAAAGCAUCGACUUGUAGUUCUUGAAUACCCAGAUGUAAAGGUACCAUAAAACAAUCUGAAGGUUGAGCUGAGAGAAAGGGACCUUGAUUAAUUUUGGAUGUUGAGAUGUCCAGCCGCACAGUCCCUAUUGUGGCUGGGCGUCCUUGUUUUCCUGCAUGCUUGUACUCCUGAGUCUUGUUGUUUGAGGCUUCUGUUUCUUCCGACAAUCUACAGCUUUAUGGCCCGCUUCUCCGCAAUAUAAACACAAGUUUUGUUCAAACCGUCGCUUCCUUUCCUCAGCUGUGAGGGGUUUGAAACGUACCACAUCAAUUUUCAUGGGUUCAGGAUCUGUGGAGUGAUUCUCUGGACCUUUUGAAAAUGUAGCAAAUGCUCCAUCAUUUCUCCAGCCUGAUCGUCUUUCUUGUCGUAAUUCAAAGAGGCGGUUGUCACAAAUAAUUGCCUGAGAUAUAAGUUCUUCUAAAGUAUCCGCCUUAGGCAUGGUGAUCAAUAAGUUCUUGACAUCAUCUCUCAGUCCAUAUCGAAAUCGUGUCAUGAACGCCUUAUCAUUCCAAUCAAGAUCACAUGUAAGCUGUUGAAAUUCUGCAGCAUAGAUUGCAGCAGAACGUGAUCCUUGUCGCAGAUUUUGUAUCUUUCUUUCAGCCACUCUUUCUCGAUCGCUAUCUCCAAACGCAACAGUAAGUCUCUCUAUGAAAGCCUCUAGGUCGUACAAUAUUGGAGAAUCCUUCUCCAAUAGUGGAGCAAACCAAGAGUGAGCAUUUUCUGAUAGAAGAGUACCUAUGAAAGCAACCUGGAUAAAUCCAUUCGGAUAACGAGAAGGGUAUAGGCGUAGGUAAAGCCGUACUUGUUGCACAAAACCUCGGAAGUUGGCUCUUGUUCCGUCAAACUUGUUUGGCAUAUUCACUUUUGGUUCUUUCGUACUAAUCCUUGAAGUAUCCAUAGGGAUCGUAUGUGACACAUGUCUUGCUUCUCUUAGUCGAAUAAUCUCUUGUUGUAGGCUAUGAAUUUCACGUCUAGCUUCUUCGGUCACUAGAUCAAUUUGAGGUUCUUUACUUGGAUUGCGAAGAAAUGCAAUCUCCUUUCGUACACUAUUCAUAAGAGCUUGAAGAUCUGCAAGAGUUGCCACUCUAUUGUCUACUUGUGGAGAUGCACUAUCUAUGACCUGGUCUACUUCCAUAUUUAGAGAAUAGAUGGAUUAAAAUUUUGAGAGAAGAAGAAAUUGCUAAGUCUCUUGGAGAAAAUUGUAGCACUACCUGUCACUAAAACCUACUGGGAGAAAAGAAAAAAAACACUAAACGAUUUCAGUUUUAGAGGAGGGUAAUCCGCAACCUCUAAAAAUGCCUCAAUGCUUUCGAGAAGAGGGGUAAUCCGCACUCUAUCAAGAAGGCAAACCUCUGAAAUCGAUGUUAACAGUCUUUUUUACUAGCUAUGCUAAACAAAAAGAAGGAAUUAAUAUCAAUCCAAGGGAGGGUAAUCCGCAACCCUUAGAACGCUCAAGUAUCUCCAAGGAAAGGGGUAGUCCACUCUCUGCCUCAAAGAACUAAGCUCUGAUAUUGUGAUUGAGAAAAUAUCAGUUUAGAGGAAGGUAAUCCGCAACCCCUAAAGCGCUAGAAUACCUUCAAGAAGAGGGGUAAUCCGCUCUCAAACAAGAAGGAUUCAGCUCUGAUAUUAAGAUAAAGGUAGUCUCAACAAACUGUCAUGGACCAAAAAUACAAACAAGAAAUCUAAAUAAGAAGUUCAAGAAGAAAUGACAAGAACUAGAUUAUCAGAUGAGUACAAGAGCAACGCCAAGAGAAUUGAGCUAGAGCUUCAAGAGAUGUGUUGUCGAGACUGAAGAACUCUUCAGCCUCGACUCCUAUAUAUACUACUGGCCUAUGGUUCUAAGGAAGCGCAUCAAGAAGCUUCCCAAGAACUAUGAAGCUUCUCGAGCAACUACCCAAGAGCUAGGAAGCUUCUCAAGUAACUUCCUAGAAUCUACUAGAAUAUUCUAAGAAUCUUCUAGAGCCUUCUAAGAGAAUCUUUAGGGAAUCUUCAAAGAAUCUUUAGGGAAUCUUUGAAGAAUGUUCUAAGAAAAUAUUCAAGGAAUCUUCUGGAAGUUUCUAGAGACUUCUUUCUAGAAGGUUCUAGAAACUUGUCUCUAGAAAGGUCUAAGGACUAUGUCCCUAACACCUUGAGAAUUGAGAUUAUCGAAUUGUAUUGUAUUAAAUAAAGAUAUUGAAUUCUGUAUGAUGAAUUGAGAAACUAAAUAUAAUAAGUAAGCUAGAGAUUAAGAAUUGAAUAUAUAUAAACUGCAAAGAGAGUAAGUGGGAGAUGAACUGAUAAGAAUAUGGAAGUAUUGUUGAAUUGAUAGUCGUAGAAUGGAUUAUGUGUUGAAUUAAGAUGGAAGUAGUAAGCCUUGGUGUUUUGUAGUUUGAUAA